rnacentral:rRNA from 1 species
AACGAACGCUGGCGGCAUGCCUAACACAUGCAAGUCGAACGAGACCUUCGGGUCUAGUGGCGCACGGGUGCGUAACGCGUGGGAACCCGCCCUUAGGUUCGGAAUAACUCCCCGAAAGGGGUGCUAAUACCGGAUAAUGUCUUCGGACCAAAGAUUUAUCGCCUUUGGAUGGGCCCGCGUUAGAUUAGCUAGUUGGUAGGGUAAAAGCCUACCAAGGCGACGAUCCAUAGCUGGUCUGAGAGGAUGAUCAGCCACACUGGGACUGAGACACGGCCCAGACUCCUACGGGAGGCAGCAGUGGGGAAUAUUGGACAAUGGGCGAAAGCCUGAUCCAGCAAUGCCGCGUGAGUGAUGAAGGCCUUAGGGUUGUAAAGCUCUUUUACCCGGGAUGAUAAUGACAGUACCGGGAGAAUAAGCGCCGGCUAACUCCGUG